rnacentral:rRNA from 1 species
ACUCAAAGGAAUAGACGGGGGCCCGCACAAGCAGCGGAGCGUGUGGUUUAAUUCGAGGCUACACGAAGAACCUUACCUAGGCUUGACAUACGGGUGGUAGGGAACCGAAAGGGGACCGACCUUCGGGAGCCCGUACAGGUGCUGCAUGGCUGUCGUCAGCUCGUGUCGUGAGAUGUUCGGUUAAGUCCGAAAACGAGCGCAACCCUCGGAUCCAGUUAUACGUGUCUGGAUCGACUGCCCGUGAGAAACGGGAGGAAGGUGGGGAUGAUGUCAAGUCAGCAUGGCCUUUAUGUCUAGGGCUACACACACGCUACAAUGGCCGGUACAAUGCGAUGCAAGACCGCGAGGUGGAGCCAAUCGAGAAAGCCGGUCGUAGUUCGGAUUGCAGGCUGCAACUCGCCUGCAUGAAGUCGGAGUUGCUAGUAACCGCGCAUCAGCCAUGGUGCGGUGAAUACGUUCCCGGGCCUUGUACACACCGCCCGU